AUGUGUGCUUUGUUGAUUUGCUUAGUGAAGGUGUUGGUUAGGCGUUUACUGGUACUCUAUCUCUAACAUGUCUCGUCAGCAUUUAUUGUUGGAUAUUCUAUGAUAUGAAGUCCUGUAACCAAAUAAAGAACGGCAAUGGCAUUUAAGAGAUGCAUAAAAGAUUCUGGUUCACAGGAAUGCGUCCUCAUUGUAUUUGUGCUUGUCUCAUUCUUAUAUCUGUACCUGGCGAUAUGAUUCUUUUGUAUCCUCUCAUCGUGCAUUUGAGAAUACAUGAAUCAACUACAAGUCUAGAGACCAGGCUUUGGGAAAACUGCAAGGGAAGGAAAGGGGAUGUCUCAUUUUAUAAACUGUGUUCAUUAACAUAUGUGGAAAUACUUAACUACUGGAUAAAUGAAAUUCAAUACAUCUGUUGGUGAAUCUGAAUGUAUGCAUGUGAUGUAUUAAAAUGUUGAGAACAGAUCUCCUGUUGAAUUUAUAACUCGGAAUAAAAAGGCUAUAGAAAUGCACCCUGUCCCAUGCAUUUUGGGCACUAGCCAUCUUAGGGGAGGGAGAGAUUGUAGCUGCAAGACCCAGAGGUUCACCAUUUAUCCCAUGUAUUUGAGGAACCAGGAUCCAAGUAAGAGAGC
rnacentral:lncRNA from 1 species